rnacentral:rRNA from 1 species
AACGAACGCUGGCGGCAUGCCUAACACAUGCAAGUCGAACGAGAUCUUCGGGUCUAGUGGCGCACGGGUGCGUAACGCGUGGGAAUCUGCCCUUUGGUUCGGAAUAACAGUUGGAAACGACUGCUAAUACCGGAUGAUGACGAAAGUCCAAAGAUUUAUCGCCAGAGGAUGAGCCCGCGUAGGAUUAGCUAGUGGGGGUGGUAAAGGCGCACCAAGGCGACGAUCCUUAGCUGGUCUGAGAGGAUGAUCAGCCACACUGGGACUGACGCACGGCCCAGUCCCCCACGGGCGGCAGCACUGGGGAAUCUUGGACAAUGGACGCAAGCCUGCGCCAGCAACGCCGCGUUAGUGAUGAAGGCCUUAGGGUUGUAAAGCUCUUUUACCCGGGAUGAUAAUGACAGUACCGGGAGAAUAAGCUCCGUCUAACUCCGUGCCAGCCGCCGCCGUAA